rnacentral:rRNA from 1 species
ACUCAAAUGAAUUGACGGGGACUCGCACAAGCGGUGGAUCAUGUGGCUCAAUUCGUCGGUAAGCGAAAAACCUUACCAGGGUUAGAAAUCUGCACGACGACCAGAGGAAACUUUGGUCUCCGAAAGGCGGGCAGACAGGUGAUGCAUGGCCGUCGUCAGCUCGUGGUUUGAACUGUUCCCUUAAGUGGGGUAACGAGCGCAACCCUCGUCGUGUGUUACAAGUGUCACACGAGACCGCCCCCGCACGGGUGCCUGAAAUUUUUUCGGGCGUCGGUGCGGGGGAGGAAGGUGAGGAUGACGCCAGGUCCGCAUGUCCCUCUGAUACCCUGGGCUGCACACGUGAUACAAUCGGUAGGACAACGGGGCGCAAUGACGCAAGUCGGAGCAAACCCUAAUAACCUGCCGCCAGUUCGGAUCGAGGUCUGCAACUCGACCUCGUGAAGCCGGAAUCGCUAGUAAUCGCGGAUCAGCACGCCGCGGUGAAUACGUUCUCGAGUCUUGUACACACCGCCCGU